GGGUGCUAACGUCCGUCGUGAAGAGGGAAACAACCCAGACCGCCAGCUAAGGUCCCAAAGUCAUGGUUAAGUGGGAAACGAUGUGGGAAGGCCCAGACAGCCAGGAUGUUGGCUUAGAAGCAGCCAUCAUUUAAAGAAAGCGUAAUAGCUCACUGGUCGAGUCGGCCUGCGCGGAAGAUGUAACGGGGCUAAACCAUGCACCGAAGCUGCGGCAGCGACACUAUGUGUUGUUGGGUAGGGGAGCGUUCUGUAAGCCUGUGAAGGUGUGCUGUGAGGCAUGCUGGAGGUAUCAGAAGUGCGAAUGCUGACAUAAGUAACGAUAAAGCGGGUGAAAAGCCCGCUCGCCGGAAGACCAAGGGUUCCUGUCCAACGUUAAUCGGGGCAGGGUGAGUCGACCCCUAAGGCGAGGCCGAAAGGCGUAGUCGAUGGGAAACAGGUUAAUAUUCCUGUACUUGGUGUUACUGCGAAGGGGGGACGGAGAAGGCUAUGUUGGCCGGGCGACGGUUGUCCCGGUUUAAGCGUGUAGGCUGAUUUUCCAGGCAAAUCCGGAAAAUCAAGGCUGAGGCGUGAUGACGAGGCACUACGGUGCUGAAGCAACAAAUGCCCUGCUUCCAGGAAAAGCCUCUAAGCAUCAGGUAACAUCAAAUCGUACCCCAAACCGACACAGGUGGUCAGGUAGAGAAUACCAAGGCGCUUGAGAGAACUCGGGUGAAGGAACUAGGCAAAAUGGUGCCGUAACUUCGGGAGAAGGCACGCUGAUAUGUAGGUGAAGCGACUUGCUCGUGGAGCUGAAAUCAGUCGAAGAUACCAGCUGGCUGCAACUGUUUAUUAAAAACACAGCACUGUGCAAACACGAAAGUGGACGUAUACGGUGUGACGCCUGCCCGGUGCCGGAAGGUUAAUUGAUGGGGUUAGCGGUAACGCGAAGCUCUUGAUCGAAGCCCCGGUAAACGGCGGCCGUAACUAUAACGGUCCUAAGGUAGCGAAAUUCCUUGUCGGGUAAGUUCCGACCUGCACGAAUGGCGUAAUGAUGGCCAGGCUGUCUCCACCCGAGACUCAGUGAAAUUGAACUCGCUGUGAAGAUGCAGUGUACCCGCGGCAAGACGGAAAGACCCCGUGAACCUUUACUAUAGCUUGACACUGAACAUUGAGCCUUGAUGUGUAGGAUAGGUGGGAGGCUUUGAAGUGUGGACGCCAGUCUGCAUGGAGCCGACCUUGAAAUACCACCCUUUAAUGUUUGAUGUUCUAACGUUGGCCCGUUAUCCGGGUUGCGGACAGUGUCUGGUGGGUAGUUUGACUGGGGCGGUCUCCUCCUAAAGAGUAACGGAGGAGCACGAAGGUUGGCUAAUCCUGGUCGGACAUCAGGAGGUUAGUGCAAUGGCAUAAGCCAGCUUGACUGCGAGCGUGACGGCGCGAGCAGGUGCGAAAGCAGGUCAUAGUGAUCCGGUGGUUCUGAAUGGAAGGGCCAUCGCUCAACGGAUAAAAGGUACUCCGGGGAUAACAGGCUGAUACCGCCCAAGAGUUCAUAUCGACGGCGGUGUUUGGCACCUCGAUGUCGGCUCAUCACAUCCUGGGGCUGAAGUAGGUCCCAAGGGUAUGGCUGUUCGCCAUUUAAAGUGGUACGCGAGCUGGGUUUAGAACGUCGUGAGACAGUUCGGUCCCUAUCUGCCGUGGGCGCUGGAGAACUGAGGGGGGCUGCUCCUAGUACGAGAGGACCGGAGUGGACGCAUCACUGGUGUUCGGGUUGUCAUGCCAAUGGCACUGCCCGGUAGCUAAAUGCGGAAGAGAUAAGUGCUGAAAGCAUCUAAGCACGAAACUUGCCCCGAGAUGAGUUCUCCCUGACUCCUUGAGAGUCCUGAAGGAACGUUGAAGACGACGACGUUGAUAGGCCGGGUGUGUAAGCGCAGCGAUGCGUUGAGCUAACCGGUACUAAUGAACCGUGAGGCUUAACCUU
rnacentral:rRNA from 1 species